UUUUUGUCUGGUCACGUUUACGCAUAGCGGUUGUUUCUUUUACUUAUCUUGUUUGUAUUGCCUUCAAAGUGGAUUAUUAAAUACGUUAUACCUGAUCUUCAUCUUCAUCGUGUGUUCCUUGCAACCGUUGGUGACACACAUAUUGUUUCAAAACAGAAAUCAACAAAGGAGCUGGAUCACAGAGAUGGAGAAUGUGGACAUGAUGGCAGAGAACACUGAUAUUAAUCUAUCAAAAAACCCCAGACAGAGCAUGGACAAUCCUAUUAACUUCAAUGAGGAGAACACAUCAGUGCAAAGAGGAGCCAGUUUCUCAGAUGACUCUACAAGAUAUGAAUGUGUCAAUUUCACAGAGAAUAUAAAUGGAAACAAAAGACAGGACAGAUUCCGUGUAGCAUGGGAUAAGGGAGCAUCUGAUGAUAUGUCACCUGUACGGAACAACUCUUUCAGCUCUAUCCGUUCUUUUGACUCAGGAUAUGCUUCAAGGAAAAAUUAAAUUAUGUCAGAAGAUGAACAAACAAAAUGAUGUCAACUUCAAAUAAGACCAGCAGCACAGACAGAAUCAACCCCUAAAAUUUGAUGGCCACUCAAGGUGCCAGCCCAGAAAUGGAAAUUAUGACUGGACAUGAAUUGGUUGUGAUUCAGUCAGAAUCAUUCGGACAGAACACUCAAACACAGUUCCUUAAUAUUAUUUAAUAUUUAAUAUUAAUAAGUUGUAAAAGGUUGUCAGUAUAACUUUUAUGAUGAGCACAUAAACUACCUCACAUAUAAAAUCAGAUAUUAAAUAUUAAGGUUCCAAAAUAAGUGUUUAAAAACAAAAAAAACUCAGGUAAAUCCACAAGCAAAUGUCAACGUAACAGCAUGUAGACAUGAAAAUACUUGACAAUGAACUGCAAACAAAGAGAAACUUAAAGUCCUGAAGAAGGCUGUGUUGCUGAAAUGUGUAGAUCUACUUUUAACUUGUUUUAAUGAUUUAAGCCCGGUUCAUUAAAGGCUUUUUACUUUACCGUGUGAGUGCCUUGGAAGUAUUUCGUCUACAUAAAGAGAAACUUAAAUAUAUAAUGAUAACGAGCUCAAGGAUGAACAGGUGUGUUGAUUUACUGAAUGUUCAUGGCAACUGACUGGACUAGAACAAAAGAAACAGGUAACUGAAGAGAAACAAACUAAAAGCACAUGAAAAUGAAACUAACACAAACAGUGUGACAGUAUGAGUGCAAGUGUGGAUGAAUUUGAAAGCACCUGUUGUAACUUGUUGGUUGUGAUUUAAGCAGCCCUGUGUACUGUACAUUUUUGUCCACUGAAUAAAACUGAUUGUUCUUGAA